rnacentral:rRNA from 1 species
AUUGAACGCUGGCGGCAGGCCUAACACAUGCAAGUCGAGCGGAUGAAGGGAGCUUGCUCCUGGAUUCAGCGGCGGACGGGUGAGUAAUGCCUAGGAAUCUGCCUGGUAGUGGGGGAUAACGUCCGGAAACGGGCGCUAAUACCGCAUACGUCCUGAGGGAGAAAGUGGGGGAUCUUCGGACCUCACGCUAUCAGAUGAGCCUAGGUCGGAUUAGCUAGUUGGUGGGGUAAAGGCCUACCAAGGCGACGAUCCGUAACUGGUCUGAGAGGAUGAUCAGUCACACUGGAACUGAGACACGGGCCAGACUCCUACGGGAGGCAGCAGUGGGGAAUAUUGGACAAUGGGCGAAAGCCUGAUCCAGCCAUGCCGCGUGUGUGAAGAAGGUCUUCGGAUUGUAAAGCACUUUAAGUUGGGAGGAAGGGCAGUAAGUUAAUACCUUGCUGUUUUGACGUUACCAACAGAAGAAGCACCGGCUAACUUCGU